rnacentral:lncRNA from 13 species
CCAUUACUGACGUAAUCAGAACGUGAUCAUCAGCUUCUGUUUGACAGAUUAUAUAAAUGUGUUAGUACAGCUUUGAGUACAACACAAGAAAACUGAGUUUUCAAGCAGGUUAUUCUGGAACAUAACAAAGGAAACAGUGAUCCCAGGGAUGAGCUAACAUGAAUAGGUGAAAGCGGCUCAGAUCAGCGUGUGAAGGUCUGUGCAGUGUGUUGGUGGUACACCCCUGCUCUGUUUCGUCAACUCUGUCUGUGAAUGACAACUUGUUUUACUGGGGUGUGAGCAGCCGGUCGUCUGGCAAGGACUCACAGAGACUCCAACCCAAAAAAGCUGAUCUCUUCCUAGCUCCAAGCCUGCAAGGCUUUAAUGAGGUCUUGUGGAGAAGCAGCAGCUAUCAGAUAUUCAUUAAAGAUGAGGACAUCCUCACACAGCUACUAAUUGCUCUAACUCACUAGAUUGUGUUGUUUGUGAAAACUGGAGCCUGCAAAAUGAUUCUCUCAAUUUAAAUUUUUGCAAUGCUUUGUGCCUGUUUUGGAACUUUCCCACUCUGCCCAUGAAUCCAAGCACACAACAGAUUUCUUUUCUUUUUUAUAAUGACAGAAGAGAAUUAUUCUGUUGGGGUUUGUGCAUAACCUUGUCUAGAUAAAUAUUGAACUGCUGAAAGCUAUGGUAUUGUUAGCUUUCUGAGAAAUAAUUAUAAAGGUGUCAUCAAUACUAUGUCCUGUAUAUUGUUUAACUAUUGAAAUACGACCUUUCUAAAU